rnacentral:rRNA from 1 species
UACAGAGGGUGCAAGCGUUGUUCGGAAUUACUGGGCGUAAAGCGCGUGUAGGCGGCCUGACAAGUCUCGUGUGAAAGCCCUGGGCUCAACCCAGGAAGUGCGCGAGAUACUGCCGGGCUGGAGUAGCGGAGAGGAUGGCGGAAUACCCGGUGUAGAGGUGAAAUUCGUAGAUAUCGGGUGGAACACCUGUGGCGAAGGCGGCCAUCUGGACGUUCACUGACGCUGAGACGCGAAAGCGUGGGUAGCAAACAGG